UCUGAUUAAGCAGAAAAAGUGUGCUAAAUUUAGGGUUUAGAGGUAGGAGAGGUUUCCAGUCAGAA
rnacentral:tRNA from 1 species